UACGAAGGGGGCUAGCGUUGCUCGGAAUCACUGGGCGUAAAGCGCACGUAGGCGGGUUGUUAAGUCGGGGGUGAAAUCCUGGAGCUCAACUCCAGAACUGCCUUCGAUACUGGCGACCUUGAGUCCGGGGAGAGGUGAGUGGAACUCCGAGUGUAGAGGUGAAAUUCGUAGAUAUUCGGAAGAACACCAGUGGCGAAGGCGCUCACUGGCCCGGUACUGACGCUGAGGAACGAAAGCCAGGGGAGCGAACGGG
rnacentral:rRNA from 1 species